rnacentral:misc_RNA from 1 species
UACGGAGGGGGCUAGCGUUGUUCGGAAUUAUUGGGCGUAAAGCGCGCGCAGGCGGUCUCGUAAGUCUGAUGUGAAAGCCCACGGCUCAACCGUGGAGGGUCAUUGGAAACUGGGGAACUUGAGUACAGAAGAGGAAAGUGGAAUUCCACGUGUAGCGGUGAAAUGCGUAGAGAUGUGGAGGAACACCAGUGGCGAAGGCGACUUUCUGGUCUGUAACUGACGCUGAGGCGCGAAAGCAUGGGGAGCGAACAGG